GUCAGGAUGGCCGAGCGGUCUAAGGCGCCAGAUUCAUGUUUCGAAACUUGCCCCUCAAAUGCGCAGCCAAAUGGCGUUCCGGUCCACUAAUGUGGGCGUGUGUUCGAAUCUCACUCCUGACA